AACGGCCAUAUCAUGCUGAAUAUACCGGUUCUCGUUAGAUCACCGAAGUCAAGCAUCAUUGGGCGCGGUCAGUACUUGGGUGGGUGACCACCUGGGAACACCGUGUGCCGUU
rnacentral:rRNA from 1 species